rnacentral:rRNA from 1 species
GACGAACGCUGGCGGCGUGCUUAACACAUGCAAGUCGAACGGACGGACUCGAUAGCUUGCUAUUGGGAAAGUUAGUGGCAAACGGGUGAGUAACGCGUAGGCAACCUGCCCUUCAGAUGGGGACAACACUUCGAAAGAGGUGCUAAUACCGAAUGACGUAUCCAUUCCGCAUGGAGAGGAUACCAAAGGCCGGGCAACCGGUCACUGAAGGAUGGGCCUGCGUCUGAUUAGCUAGUUGGUGGGGUAACGGCUCACCAAGGCGACGAUCAGUAGCCGGUCUGAGAGGACGAUCAGCCACACUGGGACUGAGACACGGCCCAG